UUAUGUGUGGUGCACAUAUGGUUUACAACCGAUUCGUACUUAACUCUCUGAGCUAAAAGUUAACAACAAUAACAUAUCCAAUGUAAUCCCACAGAAAGGGGUUUGGGGGUGUAGGGUGAAUGCAGACCUUAACCCUAGCUUGGAGGUAGAGAAGAUUUGCUAUUUUUAUAUUGUAUAGGUAUUUAGUUAAUUUCAAAAGGUUAGCCAAUUAUCCUGCUACUCCUUUCUUUAGUUAUCAACAAUAGACAUAACCAUAUGUUCCUGCUCAGUUUUCUGUAUUCAACCAUUUGGCUAAAUCCACCAAAAAUGCAUUGUAACUGUGAAACGAGUUGUAACUAAAGAACUGGAGAAAUAGCAAGUGGAAAACACCAAAAACUAGAACCCAGUCCGCAAAAAAGAGCAUCUUAAACCCUGAAAAGCCAGCAGUUCAAAACUUCAGAAUUUAUGCAAGAGUUAUAUUAGUUAUUUGCUCACCAAAACAGACACGAAGUUGGUCUUAUAGCUUUUCUUUUGCACUCUUUGUCAGGUAUUUCAUUAUGUUCCUUUACUUCUGCCUCUGCUCGCCCUCCCAUUCGGUAACCUCAUUUUAUUAUGUGAAUUAAAUUGUGUGCAGUUCACAUUCUGUUUUAUUCGUCAAGUUGAUUUUAUUGACAUUUUAUACAUUCAUGGAUUUUGUUUAGUUGAUUAACUGUAUAUGCGUUUUAAUGAAGAUACUUUCUAGAAAGUGUAUAGUACAACUCUUGCUUUAUUUGCAGAUGCAGUCAGCGUUUAUCAUUAUGGCCAAGGGCAAGCAUACGCCAUUGUGACAGGAAGGAAUUCGUACCUCGGAAGUUACCACCUCUACAUCUUGAGUAUAACCAUUGCAGCUUUAGGUAUAGUGGACCUGCUGUAUGGGCUGAGUGGAGAUUGCUUUAUGGCAGAGACGUUCAAGACAGUUAUCAUAUUGCCGAACCAGAAGAAUGUAGAUCUUGCUGUUGAAAUUCGCUUGUGUCAUUUCUUUUGCCUGCAGCAGCACGGGCAUGUUGAGUUCUGAUUGCAGAGGGACGUUCUUAAAUAAUGGGUUGACCAAGGAGGAGCAUGAAAACGUAGAAUGCAUUUUUGUUUUUUGAUCAUAUGCAUGAAUAUGAUAAAACUGAAGCACUAUGUCAUUCUUAACAUAUAUGUCAUUGACUUCUUAUUAAGGAAUGUACUUAUAAUAUUUGAUCAGAGGAUGAUUUUGUAAAACACUAUUGGAUGCUUUUAUUAGCUAAUAUUAUUUGUAGUUCUUA